AACAAAGUAUGUACAUUCCUACAGCUGCAACCCAAAUCAUUUAAAAUAAUCUAUAAUAAAGCACAUUUGUAAUAUUUCCACAGUCCUAUUCCACAUUUCUAUAAAAAUCUUUUGACCUUUAUGUUUGCCAUUGAGGAGGUCAACAGUGAUCCGGGAAUCUUACCAAAUAUCACUCUAGGAUAUCAUUUAUUUGAUUCAUGUUCCAGUGAAAAAAAGACAGUAAAAAGCAUCCUUCAGAUUUUAUCCGGACCAGGAAAGACCGUCCCUAAUUACUCCUGUACUAAACGAGGAACCCUGGCUGGGUUUAUUGGGGAUGAACUUUCCGACACCACCAUACCCAUGGCACAAAUCCUAAGCAUGUAUGGGUACGCACAGGUGAGCAGAAUAUGCACCGUUAGUACAAUUGUUUAAUAUCUUUGAUGUUAGUUACCUUGACUUACAAGUAGACAGUUACCCACUGCUUCAAGAGACCAGAGAUGGUCAAGGGCUGUUGACAAGACCCUGCGAUAGUAGGAGUGCAAGUGGAGUGAAGGCUGAAGAAGUGACGCAAGAGGGACAUGAACAAGAAAACUCCACUAUGGAUGGAAAAAGGGGAUAAGAGAGAAGGACAUGAUCAGUUAUGGCGCAACGCAUUCCGUGCUCAGCGACAGACGAGUUUAUCCGACGUUUUUCCGAACCGUUCAAAAUGACCAUGUCAGUUAUUAUAUUUUAUCCAAGCUGCUGAAAUACUUUGGCUGGAACUGGGUCGGCAUUUUAACCACCGAUGAUGAAAGUGGAGACAAGGAAAGCCAAGUACUGACAAAGUAUAUGAAAGACGAUGGAAUUUGUGCUGAAUAUGUAAUAAAAAUACAUUAUUGUCAAAGCAUGGAUCAAACUUUUGAAUACGCUUCCAAAACAAUAGAAAGAUCAACAUCUCAA